rnacentral:lncRNA from 1 species
GGACAGGCUCUAUUAGUCGUCAAUGUCACCUGUCUCUGACCUCCUCUGCAGUCACACCUCCCUCUGUGAUGACGGCCAGGACAGGCUCUCUGCUUUCAAGGACUCGCGUGAUUACAUGCGGCCCACCAAGUCUGAUCUGUUUAGUACACACGUUUGGAUCCGCAUGUGGGACCCCCUGGCGGACCUACACAAGCUUGCUCAAGAGCGCACCCACGAGAGGGCAUUUUCCAACCCGCAGCCAUAUGCGUUCCUGAUGCUAUGACACUGCCAGAUGGUGUCUCAGAAUGGCCAUCCUGGUUCUCAUGGCCACCAGCGUGUGAGAGCAUUGUCUGACCUCCCACUUACUCCUACCCCGAUGAGUGACUUCCUCGAACGCACCCUGGCACAUGUAACUACGUAUCCUGGCUUCGACAGCAGGGAUGGUGUCUUGCCUGCCCCCCUACUCUGGCCUCAACUGCACUGUGUCCCCUCUCUC